AUAAACCCUUGCGAGGCUUUCGCG
rnacentral:siRNA from 1 species